rnacentral:lncRNA from 1 species
CCCAUCUAUUUACACGGGUCCGGCUACAAUUCUAUUAAUAGGAUUGAAGCCAUUAUCCUAUCAAGUCGUUUUGAACGAUCGAAACUUCAAAUUGAUAAUCGGCACCGUUGAAACUGAUCUACACAAUUAGAAAUAUUUAGAAACCAAAUUUUGUAAUAUUUAAAAAUCAUUAUCAAGUUCAUCUUAAGAGUUGAAAAAUGAACGGUUAUAAAUGAAUAACCUUAUUAAAAUAGAGGUUAGACUUUCUCAAUUCAUAAUCAGAGUUAUCAAACAUUAUCUAAAUAGUAUAAAAAAUUUUCUAUCAAAAAUUUAAGCAAUUUGGAUUGUUCUACACCGUUAAACAAGCAAACGACUCAUAUAGGCGUCAAAAAUUGUCGAUUUUACGACACUUUGAUCACCAUGUAAAUAAUUUUUAAAAUUUAUGAAAUUUAGUUUCUAAAUAUUUCAAAUACUCUAGAUCAACUUCAACGACUCCGAUCAUCGAUUCGGAAUCUCUAUCAUCAAGAAUCAUUUGAUAGGACAAGUGCUAUUAUCCUAUUAAUAGGAUAGUAGCCCUAGCCCUAUUUAUACCUAUAUAUUAUUUUUAUAAAAUUUAUUAUACGAUAGCUUUUUUUAUACCCUUAUCUUUCCCUUUUUAUUUUCUAAUACUUCACCUUUCCACCCCCAUCUCCAUCCGAUUUUUCAUCUUCCACAUGUUCACUUUUUAAUUAAUGCGUUUAUAGGAUCUAUUGUUAUCUAAACAAAUCGUUUCUACAAAAAAAUAAAUAAAAUAAAUCUCUUCAUACUCUUUUUUCUCAUACUAUUUAUAUUUAUUGAUGUAUCAUAGCAAGUCAAAAAAUUUUAACAAUUUUAUUUUAUCAAUCUUCUAUCGUUUAUAAUAUUAGUCCACCGCUAUGCUCGGGUAGUUUCACUAACAUACAUAAAAGUGAUGAGUAGCGCUUUUAUACUUGUUAUUUUCAAUACCGUCCAGUCAUUACUAUUCAACGGCUCAAAUUUAAUUUUUUUAAAAUUGUGACCCGUAAUAGCAGGUCACUUUUGAGAGAGGUACCGAUUACAAGGUAUUCCAAAAAAGGAUAUUUUGGUAUUUUAAUACGUGGAUAAUUUAGUAAUUUUAUCUCCACUAUAUUAUCAAAUCUCUAUUCUUUCUCUAUUCCCUUUUUCUCUCUCUAUCUUUCCUCUUCAUCCACAAUAGAGAUGUAAUGGAGUAGGAUUCGGGGUGGAUUUUUAAAAAUCCGAAUCAGAACCUAACUAUUAAACUCGAAACUCGAAACUCGAAUCAGAACCCAAAUCCGACGAAUUUUGGAAAAUUAUAUCCACAUCCGUACCUAACUAAAAAUCCGAAACCUGAACCCUAGCCCGAACCCGGAGAUCUGAACCAAAAAUAUAUAUUUCUCUUUACAAUAUUUUAAAAUAUAUUAAAUUAAAUCUACAUUUUUAAAAUACAUAUUCAAAUAUAACAUCAAAUAUUUAUAUAUAUUAUAUAUAACUAAAAUAAAUUCGGGUUCCGGUCAGUUUCGGGUUCAGAUCAAAUACAAUCAAAAUCCAUACCCAAAUUCAACUCUGUCGAAUUUUCGUUUUUUAUAUCUAUAUCCAAAACUAUAUCUAUUUAGUAUAGGUAAAUUCACUGUCUUUGCUUUCGAAUUUAAAUUCGGAUUCAGAUAAAACUAUGGGUAUUCCCAUUGACAUCCGUAAUUAACGGAUAUUUUAUCAUUUCAUAUCCAUAAUUUACAGAUAUUUCAUUAAAAAAUAUUACAAUAUAUUAAAUAAGUUGAAUUUAAAUUUUUUUUACCUACAUUCAAAUUUUAAGUUUGUGGUAAAAAAUUAAUAUCUAAACUAGAGGAAUUUAAAAACUUAUUAAUUAAGCAAAUUAAAUAUGUUGAAUUCAUUAUUAUCAUAAUAUAUUUAAUUAUUAUAAUUUAUAUUUAUAAACAAAAUAUAUUUAAAAUAUAUUAUAUAAUAAAUAUAUAAUAUAAUUAUAAUAAUCUAUUUAUUAUUAUAAAAUAAAUUAUUAUAUAUUUAUAAAUAAAUUAUNUUGUAAAACAAGUUUUCCGAAAAAACACUUUCUAUAGAGAUCCAAACAUUAAAAAAAUAUUUUUUAACUGAAAAUUAAUUUUCAGAAUACUUUUACAGCAAACCAAACACCCCCUUAGC